GUCACGGUGAUGUCCAAAGCUUUUUUUGGAGGGAACUCCAGCGUGGUGUGUGCAUAGAUAGACAGUAAUGGCCGCAGGCCCUGAGAGCACAGGGAGUUGUAUCUGGUGACCACUGGACUUGUAGAUGCUGGCACGGAAGCCUAGGGCAGAAUGAAGAGACUUGCUGAAUUCAGUCCUCAUGGUACUAGUGAGCUGUUUAUCCCAGCCAGCAGAAAACACUCAGGAUAAAGGACAGGUGGCAGAGACGUUUCUAUGGUGAUGGCUUUUUUCACUCAUGCGUCUGACGUGGCUCCGUCUCUAGUGCUUCACAAUGACGUCAUGCUCUCUGCGCCUCCAGCUGGGUGCACGGUCCCGCUGCUGCUUGGUGUCUCACAUGGUGUUCUCUUCUUUAUAAGGUGACGGUUCAUUUUAAGGCCAAGAUCUGUAUUUCGAGAAGUUACAUUUGUCAGAUAACAUCAAAACAGUGAUCCAAAUAGAAACCUCUACGUUUGGGCUUCAGAUUCUUUUAGGAACAUAAAGCGACUGUUAAAGUGAAGACAUUUUUUUUUGUUUUAAAGAUGUUUUCAUUAAAGUCCCAGAAGUUUACACCUGUAAGGUGACUGUUUUAGAUUUUACACUGUAUUGUUUCACAUACAGUAUGUUUCAGCAACUAAGAUUAACAUUUGAAUAAAAAGGAAAAGUGACUCUCAAUCUUCAAACGCUGAUGCCUGACACCUAAGAGCUAGGUGUAAAAAAAAACUCCAAAGGGGGGUUGUAAUAGAACUGCUGGGUGUUAAAAAAAUAAUUACACCUGCUAUCAGACUUGUGGAGAAAGAUAUAUUUUACACAAAAAUGAUUAAGAAAUAUCCAACAUAAUAAAAUAAAAAUUGAAUUUUUGAAUGGAAAGAGAAGGGAAAAUGAGCAUACCGGGCAGGGUAGAUGUAGGAUCUACUGACUAGUAGGUUCAUUUUUCCUUUCUGUCCAUCUAUAAAAUCAAGUCUUAAUGUCAUUUUUCUAUAAGAAAUGAUAAAUUAAGUCAUAUUGUCUGAAAUUUGGGUGUAAAAAUAGCUAUUUACAGAAGUCUGAUAGCAGGUGUACAAUUUUUUUUUUUGUACACACCCCACAGUUUUAUUACACCUAAUUUAGAAAUGUUAUUUACACCUAGCUCAAAGGUGUCAGACAUCAGCGCUUAAAGGUUAAGAGUUACCACUCAAUUUUUUUACGCUGUUAAAUCUUGGAGUUCAUUUAGGAAAACUCUAGUAUUCUGCCAGGCCUGCUGCAGAUCCACACUACUGCACUGUCACUCACACCAUUUUUCUUUUAUUCAAAAUGAACACUUUACAGUUGUUCUAGGCACAGAAUUUUCCUGCCUUUUGUGUGUGAGGAAUUGCUUGGAGAUAACGUAACAAACCAAUUUGCUCUGUUUUGACAUUGUCAAAUGGCAGGCCGUGACAUUGCAACUAAGAACUGAUGGGUUAUUUGUACACUCUCCUAGGCUUGAUAGAACUGGCCACUGAAAUUGUUUGCAGUUAAUAAUAAUUUUCCAACAUGUGGAAUUUGGGUUUGUGAAGUGAGUUAUUUAGCUUAUAGUUUAUUCUGUAAUGCUAUUUUGGCAUAAAAAAUGUUUUCAAAUUCCCAA